rnacentral:sRNA from 1 species
GUAUAAUUUAAGAGGAAAUAGGAAUAUAUGCAAACCAGGAAUGCUCACACCUGAAUAUCAUCAGAAGUGCUAUAAACGUUUCACAUUUCACAUGGGUAAUUCAUCCUGCGCUGCAUUAGCAGAGAUAUUACAUAUGAAAUAUCAGUAGAAGCUAUAUCAACAAUGGUUGUUUUCCUUUCCUGCCAACUCUUCCACAAAGAAGUUUUGCGACAGAGCAUCAGCCACAAGUAUUUGAUGCGAGGUCCAUGUCUUCCAUACACCAGCAAACUUGUGAAGACCUUAUUAUAUAACUUUAUCAGACAAGAAAAGCCACCUCCUCCAGGAGCCCAUGUUUUCCCUCAGCAGUCGGAUGGGGGAGGACUGCUUUAUGGACUUGCAUCAGGAGUAGCAACAGGACUCUGGACUGUCUUCACACUAGGUGGUGUGGGCAGCAAAGUGGCUGCCUCUCCAGAGCUUUCUUCCCCUCUGGCCAACCAGAGUCUCCUGCUUCUGCUGGUGUUGGCCAAUCUGACAGAUGCCUCAGAUGCGCCAAACCCCUACAGACAAGCCAUUAUGU